CGAAGUUAAGCAUCAUUGGGCGCGGUCAGUACUUGGGUGGGUGACCACCUGGGAACACUGCGUGCCGUU